ensembl:rRNA 5S_rRNA 5S ribosomal RNA
GUCUAUGGCCAUGCCACCCUGAAUGCACCCAACCUUAUCUGAUCUCAGAAGCUAAGCAAGGUCGGUCCUAGUUAGUACUGGGAUAGGAGAUCACCUAGGAAUACCAGGCGCUGUAGACG